GUUUCAUUUUAUUGCCGCACAAGACAACACAUGCAAAUUGCAAUUAAGUUACGUAGGAGAAGAAAUCACCAGAUGUAGAAGAAAUAAAAAAUGACACAGAAUGGUUGCUGGGUUCAUUUAAGUUUAAAGUAAAGUUGUUAGUGGAUUUUCAUUACCUGCCCUGCCAACUCCUUUCAGCGUCUCCUCCGCUUCCUACUAAACUAGUUUGAUAAUCACACACUUCACAUCUUCAGCUAUUUAUUUUCCUUAAAUCAAUACAGAACCCAGAAAAAUUCAUCUUUGCCAAUUCGUUUGGCUCUCUAAUUCCACCACUAGCUAAGGAAUUAUGGGUUUGUUUCAAUAUGGUAGAGCCUUGUGUUUUUGUCUACUUCUAGUGUUCAAAACAUGUAUUGCUGGAUCUCAACAUUUUGGGAAGAUAUAUCCUGGCUUUGAGGCAUCCCAAAUGGAAUGGAUUGAUAACAAUGGCCUGUUCCUGCAAUCAAACAAUUCGGUCUUCAGUUUUGGGUUUUACACUGCCUUGGAUCCUCAAUUCUUUUUGCUUGUUGUCAUUCACAUUAGUAGUGCCAAAGUAGUUUGGACUGCUAACAGAGACAAAUUGGUUGAAGAAUCUGAUAAGUUCGUGUUUGGGAAGAAUGGGGAUGUUUAUUUGCAACUGGGAAAUGGGUUAGCUUGGUCCACAAACACUACUGGAGAGAAAGUUUCAUCCAUGGAGUUGUGGGAUUCUGGUAACUUGGUGUUGCUUCGGGAGGAUGGAGGAGUUGUUUGGCAGAGUUUUAGCCAUCCCACUGAUACUCUUUUACCCGGCCAGGAGUUUUCAGAAGGAAUAAGACUUAAGAGUUUUCCCAACAGCAACAACAUGAGUGUUUUUCUUGAAAUAAAGUCUGGUGAUUUGGUGCUGUAUGCAGGUUAUCAGACUCCACAGACGUAUUGGUCAUUGGAAAAUGAUAGCCGAAAAACCAAUACUAGCGUUGGUGGCAGGGUCCAUUCUGCAUAUCUGGAGUCCAAUGCUUGGAAUUUCUAUGAUCGGAAUAAGAAAUUGCUUGAGCAGUUCUUCUUCACCAAUAAUACUAAUCCCAAUGCUACCUGGGCUGCCAUUUUAGGUUCUGAUGGGGCGAUUACAUUUUCUGACCUUCACAAGGGAAAUCAAGUUGAUACUGAGGCAAUCACGAUACCAGAAAAUUCUUGUGGCAAGCCUGAGCAUUGUGGCCACUAUUAUGUGUGUUAUUUCGAGAAUUGGUGUCAGUGCCCUUCGUCUCUUCAAACUUUCAACUGCCAACCUCCAAUUGCUUCAACUUGUGAUGACUCCAAGGAUUCAGCAGAGCUUUUCUAUGUUGGCGAGAAUCUUUAUUAUUUUGCACUUCGGUAUGUUAAACCCUUUUCAAGAUUCACUGUUGAGGCUUGCAAAGAAGCUUGCCUUCAUAACUGCUCCUGCUCUGCACUGUUCUUUGAAAAGAGUACUCAAAGUUGCUAUCUAUUUGAUGAAAUAGGUACUUUGCAGCGUUCUCAGCAGGGUUCAGCUGGUUAUGUUUCAUAUUUGAAGAUCAUGAGUGAAACCAGUGAUGGAAGAACAAACGGGGUAAAGAAUACUCUAGUAAUUGUGUUCAUGGUUUUUGCAAGCAUAAUUGUGAUUGCUGGUCUACUUUACCUAGGACUAUGGUGCUACAGGAAAAAGAGAUCAAUGAAGCUUUCGCAAGAAAACUUGGAAGAGGACACAUUCUUGGACAGUUUUUCUGGCAUGCCUAUUCGCUUCAGUUAUAAUGAUCUUAGUAAAGCAACUAAAAGCUUCUCUACCAAGGUUGGUCAAGGAGGGUUUGGUUCGGUUUAUCUAGGUGAUCUACCAGAUGGAACCCAGUUGGCUGUCAAAAAACUGGAGGGCAUUGGCCAAGGGAAGAAGGAGUUUAGAGCUGAAGUAAGUAUAAUUGGGAAUAUACAUCAUGUCCAUCUGGUCAGGCUCAAAGGCUUCUGUGCUGAGGGGGCUCACAGGCUUCUUGUUUAUGAGUACAUGGCAAAUAGGUCUUUGGAUAAAUGGAUCUUCAAGACUGAUAAUGAAAGUCAAUUAUUGAGUUGGAAAAUAAGAUUCAGUAUUGCAGUGGGUACUGCAAAGGGAUUAGCUUAUCUCCACGAGGAAUGUGAAGUGAAGAUUGUCCACUGUGACAUAAAACCUGAAAAUGUUCUUCUUGAUGAUCAUUUCACUGCCAAAGUUUCGGAUUUUGGUUUGGCAAAGCUGAUGAACCGUGAAGAAAGCCUUGUACAUACAACACUGAGGGGUACAAGGGGGUACCUUGCACCAGAAUGGCUGACAAACAAUCCUAUUUCAGAGAAGAGCGAUGUAUACAGCUAUGGCUUGGUCUUGCUUGAGAUCAUUGGUGGCAGGAAGUGUUUUGAGCCAGGGAAUGAUUCUGAGAAAGCCCAUUUUCCUUCAUAUGCCUUCAAGAUGCUGGAAGAAGGAAGACUAAGAGAAAUCCUUGACCCAAGGCUAGAUGUUGAUGAAAACGAUGAACAAGUUUUCACUGCUAUUAAAGUUGCGUUGUGGUGCAUACAAGUUGAGAUGCAUCUGAGACCGCCAAUGACUAAAGUCGUUCAAAUGCUUGAAGGGAUAUGCGUUGUACCUCGGCCACCUAUCCCUUCUCAGUUGAAUUUUCGAGCAUACUCAGGUUGUUUCAAGUGGAGUGAUGAUGGAACUUCAUCAGGAAUACUUGGUGAAAAUAGUGGCACACUUAUGUCAGCUGUUCAACUCUCAGGUCCAAGAUAAUAGAAGAAAUGUAAUAUACAUACUGAUAGAGACAGAAGACAUUUAUAGAGUUGUGAGCUUUCUAGCAUAACAGGUUCCAUUUUACUCAGCAGCAUUUGAACCAUUAGCCUUCCUUGUCCUAUGUACUUUGUUCAUUAUGCCUAUAUCAGAUGUAAGUACUAACUGAAAUAAUCAAGAUCCAUGAAGAAUUGAAUCUAUUUCAAACAAAGGUAAAUAACAUGCCACCACUAAUUCGGCAAUCAAGCAUUGCCAUUGUUAACCAAGCUAAAGAGAACGGGCAUUUGGCUACUUAAUUAGUAUUUGUGUUGUACAUUAGUUUUUACAAUAUCUAUCCUUGCAAACUUCUUUUAUUGUAGAUAUAUUCCAUUUACAUUUUCCCUUACUAUUUUUGUUCUUUGACAACACGUAUUUCCAAAUCCUUAUUAUAUAUAAAAUUUGUAAUCUGGUUGCCAUCGUAGGCAAUUAUUAGAGCUCAAACAAUAUGCAUUUCAAGAGGUGGAUUUUUAUACAAUUUCUCAAACCAUUUAUUAAUUAAAUAUAGCUAAUUUCUCAGGUAUUACCAGCAUAAGACCAUCUCUUCUGAACUUCUAACCUUGAAAAUUUGAAAAUAGAGGAUGUAUAAGUUUGUGUUUCAAACCCUAAUUGUUAUUUGUAUUGCACAUUAGUUGACAUUUGAUACAAUUUCUUAUCUGCAUAGAUAUAUAUUUUUUGCUAUUUUUGGUUUUCCCCAAGUAAUUGUUUCCUGAAAUGAUUUUCUUUGAAGAAAAGGUCCCUUCUAUAUAUCUUGGUGGUGUUUUUGAGCUUAUUAUACAGGAAGAUGAUAAUUCAAAGUUGUUUUUCUCUUUUGUACCAUUCAUUGUAGUAAAAUUUGACUAUUCAUAUUGUUGUUAUGAAGCUGGAAAUACAUUGUACUAAUUCGAGCUGGUGUUGAGUGUGUUCACUCCUGUUUUUCUUCUUGUAAACAACUUUUGGAAGGUGAGUUUCUGAUAAAAGGGCAUCCCAAUGGUAAGGCAUUCCAGAGUUGAAUACAUGACAGAGUUAAUAAGAGGAGACACAUAACACCUUUCUUCCGUUUUAAUAUAUCAACAAACCCACUUGAACAAAAUAAAGGCACCCCCUUUUAACUCUGGAAACAAAUUUAUUUGUUUCUGUGAGUCAAUCAACAAAGGAGAUUAGUCACUUUGUUUUUCUUUCUUGGGUUGUUUUCUUUGUUGCUCUCUGUUAGGCUCUAUAUGUAGAAAGUUUGCUUUUAGUUGUUUGUGGUUAAUACUCAUAUUGUAAUUUAGCAGUUUUUAUAAUAUUCAGAGUUUCUUGUGUAUUGAACUUUCCCUCUCUUAUACUAAAUCCAAGGAUAUAUAACUCUUUGGUACUAGAUAGAAUUUGUAAUUUAAGUAAGCCCCUAUAUUUCAGAAGGUUUAUAAACAGAUUUUCUUAUGUUUAUUUGGCAAAGCUUAGUGUAAUUUUUCAGGUAUAGAAAUUAUGGGUUUUUGUCAAUAUAGUAGAAUUUUGUGUUUAAGUCUACUCCCUGUGUCUACAACUUUGUAUUGCUGGAUCUCAACAUAUAGGCAAGAUACAUGGAAUGGAUUGAUAACAAUGGCAUAUUCCUGCUAUCUAACAACUCGGUUUUCAGUUGUGGCUUUUGCACUGCCUUGGGUUAUCAACACUUAUUUGCUGGUAGUCAUUCACAUUAGCAGUUCUGAAGCAAUUUGGACUGCCAACAGAGACAAACUGAUUUGAGGAUCUGAUAAAUUUGUGUUUGAGAACAACAACAAAACUUAUUUUCAAACAGCAGAAUACUUUUGGGGAGGAUGUUACAUCCAUGGAACUGCAACGCAGGUAAGUUGGUGUUGCUUAGGGAGGGUGGAGUUAUUGUUUGGAAGAGUUAUAGCCAUCCCACUGAUACAAUUUGUUCUGUGUUUAGAUGAAACUUCAAGAAAUUUAGCCACUUAAAUCAUUUAGUGUUUAUCAUUCAUCGGUUUCAAAUUGCUUUAACCUUGCUAUUGGUUCUUGUUUUGGUUCAGAGUAGAGAGUAUAUAUUAAAACUCAAAUUGCUGACUGUUUGUCGCAGGCUGAUUGUCCUGUCGUCAAACCUGCAUGGCGAUGACUUCAUGUUUGAAAAUGAAAGUGUAAUUCAGAUUAUUUCAA